ACUGCUCAGUAACACGUGGACAACCUGCCCUUAGGUUGGGUAUAAACCCGGGAAACUGGGUAUAAUACCCGAUAGGUCUCGAUUGCUGGAAUGCAUCGAGAUUUAAAGCUCCGGCGCCUAAGGAUGGGUCUGCGGCCUAUCAGGUAGUAGUGGGUGUAGCGUACCUACUAGCCUACGACGGGUACGGGUUGUGAGAGCAAGAGCCCGGAGAUGGAUUCUGAGACACGAAUCCAGGCCCUACGGGGUGCAGCAGGUGCGAAAACUUUACAAUGCUGGCAACAGCGAUAAGGGAACCUCGAGUACCAGGUUACAAAUCUGGCUGUCGAGAUGCCUAAAAAGCAUUUCGUAGCAAGGGCCGGGCAAGACCGGUGCCAGCCGCCGCGGUAACACCGGCGGCUCGAGUGGUAACCGUUAUUAUUGGGUCUAAAGGGUCUGUAGCCGGCCGGAUAAGUCUCUUGAGAAAUCUGGCAGCUUAACUGUCAGGCUUUCAGGAGAUACUGUCUGGCUCGAGGCCGGGAGAGGUGAGAGGUACUUCAGGGGUAGGGGUGAAAUCUUGUAAUCCUUGAAGGACCACCAGUGGCGAAGGCGUCUCACCAGAACGGACCUGACGGCAAGGGACGAAAGCUAGGGGCACGAACCGGAUUAGAUACCCGGGUAGUCCUAGCCGUAAACGAUACUCGCUAGGUGUCGGCCACGGUGCGACCGUUGUCGGUGCCGUAGGGAAGCCGUGAAGCGAGCCACCUGGGAAGUACGGCCGCAAGGCUGAAACUUAAAGGAAUUGGCGGGGGAGCAC
rnacentral:rRNA from 1 species